rnacentral:rRNA from 1 species
AGCGAACGCUGGCGGCAGGCCUAACACAUGCAAGUCGAACGAACUCUUCGGAGUUAGUGGCGGACGGGUGAGUAACACGUGGGAACGUGCCUUUUGGUUCGGAAUAACUCAGGGAAACUUGUGCUAAUACCGAAUGUGCCCUUCGGGGGAAAGAUUUAUCGCCCUUAGAGCGGCCCGCGUCUGAUUAGCUAGUUGGUGAGGUAACGGCUCACCAAGGCGACGAUCAGUAGCUGGUCUGAGAGGAUGACCAGCCACACUGGGACUGAGACACGGCCCAGACUCCUACGGGAGGCAGCAGUGGGGAAUCUUGCGCAAUGGGCGAAAGCCUGACGCAGCCAUGCCGCGUGAAUGAUGAAGGUCUUAGGAUUGUAAAAUUCUUUCACCGGGGACGAUAAUGACGGUACCCGGAGAAGAAGCCCCGGCUAACUUCGUG